CUCCUUUUCCUGGUGGCUUUCUUCAUACAUGAGCGGCGGCGCCGCCGUCCUUGUCUCCAGGGGAUUCUUGUCGCCGCCACCCCCUCACCCAGCCAAGUCACCUGACGAGCGCCGCUGCCCAAGUCACCGCCGCCCCUCCUCAUCAGCGAGAUCCUAGCCAUGCUCGCCGGACGGCCACGCCUCCCAGGUCGUCGUUCCAAGACCUCCGCACGGUCCUCUCAAUUUUCGUUCCCCGCGUGUCCACCGUCCUCGUUUUCCACCGUGAGUUGAUCCCCAGCGCCUUCUUCCCCGUCUGCGCUGCUCCACCGCCAACGGGAACGUCCGCGCGUGCCCCAGCUCGUCUGCGCUACUCCACCGCCGCCGGGGACGUCCGUACGUUCCCAGCUCGUCUGCGGUGCUCCGCCGCCGCAGGGGACGUCCGCGUGUAUUCCAGAUCCAAGGCCGUUGUCGUCCUCGCCAGUGACGCCUUCUCGGUACGGCAACUCCUCCAGUUAACUGAUUGAUUUGCAUACUUUGUCGCGCACAGAAUUAGGGGUGACUGAACUGAGAACCAGUUCCUAUGUGCAGGCUUCGAGCUGCGAAACUUGAGGUAAUUCUAUUCCGUUCCAGAGUUUUGUCAGCUGUGUACCAAUAGAUACACACAGGCGUAUUGUAGCUUCCGUUAACAUCACUCUGAAAGGCGCUGGGCUCGUUAGCUAUAUGCUGACAAAUUAGAUCAAUAGGGGAAAUACACAUGUUCUCUCACUCUGUCUGUGAAGUGUAUUUACUUAAUGUUAGUGCUAACUGGAACCUUCAUUCAUGAACGACCACUGCUGCUAAUACCUACUAUUUGCAUAGACCCAGUAAACUAAACUUUUCCCAUGUAGUUGUCAGUGUUUAUUAUAGUAAGGAGCGCUCUAAAGUAUAAUGCUAGAUUGUGACAACAGUUUCUUGUUUUGCACUUUGCAGUAUGUAAUGGGCAGAUCAGAUGAGGACUUGAAAACACCCUUUGGCAUUAAAAUUCUGGACAAACUAACUCAGACUUGGGUUGUGCUAAGAGUAGUUGGGGCUUAGCCUCCAUCCAAGUCGCACGAAGCAAUUCUUGUAAAGGAUGAGAAGAUAUUGAUUGUUGAGAACUGGACAAAAUCCUACAGAAAAGAUUGAGGAACCGGUUGCUUGCAUUUUGCUUGCACUGAAACUGGAGUAGCAAUUUCUGCUCACCCAUCUGUCUUUCCCUUUCCUGCUAGUUGAAUGUAUCAUUUUGUUGUGUGAAUGUUGUGGAGCAGCAAAUAUUUUUAUCAACAUUCUAUGAGGAAACAUCGCAGUGUAACUGAGAUUGCGCAUUGUAUUUUAUUUCAUUGUUUGGAAAUGGGAAACCUGUAUUGCAUCUG